ACAUGGCCGCAUUUGACACGAAAUUGGCUAUAGGCUAUAGCUCCGAACUGGAACCGGGGAUCCGAUCCGAGUUGGAAGUGUGAGUUUUGCAUUCGAGCGAAUCGAACCGCGGUCCGCGGUCCGGGAAUCGUGACAAGAUGAUGCUAAUCCGAUAGCCAUCGGAAUCGCUCUCCGGAUCGUGUUGUAAUUGUUGACGCCGAACGAACUUGAUUUGAUUAACGUUUCUUAUUUUUCCAUCCCGCUUGCAUCGGAAAUCGAGCCGGGCCUGAUUCUUCGACUGGAAUAUCGGGUUAUAGAAUGGCGCAGAAAGCUAGGAAUUCUGGCAUGGACGACUCAUUUCUAAGGCAGCCAUAAAAAGCGGCAGUCAAUGACUGAGAAUUGCCAUAAAAAUUGUUGACACAAAAUUUCUUGGAUCUGAAUUUAUGCGCGGGAAUCGAGAAUGCGUAUAAAUCAUGUUAUAAUGGCUGUCUUCAAUAAAUUAAAAUCAUUAAAAGCGGAUUAUCAGCAUGGGAUGGGAAAGUUUGUGAAAGAAGUGAGAUGGGUCCGCGAUAUCUGGAUCGUGGAUUCGGGUUAGAUGUAUGCCAUACCUGGCCGACAUCUGGGGCCUUGUCCGUUCAAUCAGCCAUCGAUUCGGCAGAGCUCCCCGAUCCCUAAUUACGAGAAUCCGGCGCUGCGAAGCGUUACGCAUUCGUCAGUUCCAUCCGCUCGAAAGAAAUCUUAAUUAACGCAUAAACAAUUAACGCGUAUCUCAUUAUGUUCUGUUUGCCGGCAAUCUAUCUAACUUCUGUCUGUCUCUCCUCGCCUUUUGGAGUCAUUAGGGGGCUUAUUUCUUCGGUCGCCGUCGUUAUUGUUAUUUUCGGUAUUUUCGUUGGUCGGGAAACCAUUCAUAAAUGAUUAACGUUGCCAAAGUGCAAUUAACAUUGCAAACAAGGGCGGAGUCACGAGGAAGAGGACGGACCCCACAGAUACUUCUGCCAGAUAUACUAUAUGUUUGUGCCAUUUCCCCCGGCCGCUUUAUCGCAAUGAUAAUCAGAAACAACGCAACAAAAACUGAGACUUCAUGCGGCCAUAAAAGCCAUAUAAUAAUAAUAAUAAUACUUGUGCCCACAUGGUCCGCUGUCUGCGCGAGUGCGCUUAAUUUUAUUUCGUUUUCCCAUUUUUUUACCAUUCGAAUUUGGCCAUAUAAACAUUUUUGUGACGCGCGGUAAUUACGCUGAAAAACUCAUUUGACGGGUCGCCCAUUCAGUCGCCGUGUAAUAAAUCUCUCGAUGUGUAUAAUUUGGUGUGAGUGAGCCUGGCCAACGCACGGAAAAUCGUAUCUCGUAGAUACAACCGAUUGUCCGUGCACUGGGUGCUCUUUUUGUAUUUCGGCACAGAGAAAAAAUAUGGCUGGGAUUUUCCUCUAAGCCCUGCGCUGUUUUCUUUCUGUAUCGUGCCAACGUCAACUGCUGAGAUGACACUUUAAAUUGUUUUUGUACUUACAUAUAUGAGUAUUACUUCAAAUCAAAUAAAAACAAGCAACUUAAAAUUGGUAUAAGCAUUCAAAGUUAUUUUUUAUACAUAUUUAUUCUGCCUUGUUUAAUUCUAUUAAUGUGUGAGAGGGGUUUCUAACCGGUUUGAUUUAAUAAAUACAAAACUAGUGAAUAGUUUUUGGUGAAACUUGCAAUAAACGCAUAAAACAGAUGGAAUAAAUUAGGAACAAAAAAUGAACUACCAUAGUAGGUUUUUUCCAGUGCAUCCUUGACACAACAGGCGACUCAACUCCGGGGAUGGGCCGUGCUGUUUGGGAUGCGGACUGGAUCGCUCGUCUCGGUUGGGAUCUGCUGGCUUCCAGGUCUCUAAGCUGCCCGCAGGCAGUCAUCCACUCAGGCAGUCGGAAAAAGGAGAAUGGAGAAGGGAGAGGGGGACCAUUAGGUGGAAUGCCUAGCCUGCAAUCAUUACUCAUCUGAGGCCUAGGGUUUCCUCGCAUUCGACUAUUGUCAAUGGCAAAACAAUGAGCCGGCAAGCAAAUGCAGCGCAGCUAGCGGGGGGCAGACGGCAGAUAUCAGAUACAGCCGGAGAUUCAGAUGCGGCACAGCCAGCAGAUACAGAUGCAAACUACAAGCUACACGCUACGAGCUACACACAUGUGGGAAAGUAUCUCUAAGUAUAUGCCACAAUUUAUGGCUUCCUACACGGACACAUCGUGGCCCCAAAAAAAGCAAAUAUGUAUAUGACAAGUCAUAAAUGCCUCAACCUCACGGACAAAGUUACAGCAACACAAACACAAGCAGAUACAGAAACAGAUACAGAUACUUUUGUUGUUGCGGAGGCCAUAAAAAGACACAAAAAUCGACUGACACAUCGCUCAAUAAACAUAAAUUAUAAUUUAUUUAACUUUUGCACUUUGUUUCAUUUAAUUCCCGAUGCUCGUUUCCAAUUCGAAUGGGAUUCAUUUGUUUAUUAUUUGUUUGCUUUGGUUUCGUUUCGUUUCGUUCCGACGGACUCAUUUAUUCGUCGGAAAUUCAAUGAAAAAUUCAAGGAAAAACGUUUUCAGCUGGCUGGCUCAUUAAAAGACGCGCCACGCACAACUAUUCGAAAUAUUUUAAUUAUUUUCCACUCGCACAUAUACAUUGGUUAAAUGCGAUUCGUGGGCGUAGCAGGUUAUUUUGAAUUAUUUUUUAAAGCGAUUUUAAUUGCCCCGCCGGAGACCAAUUGACGUAUGUUUUUUGGACCGGGCUCUGUUUUCCGGGGGCACUUUGGGGCUCCGUCAUCUGGGUCCGGAUUGUGGAUUGUGAAAAGCACUUCGGUGCAGUGUUGAGUUCGGUCCGCUCCGCUUGAAUUAUGAGCCCUGGAAAUCCACAGUGGAAACAUGAGCCCCGUGAGCGCUGAUAGUGUGGCACAAAUACUCAAAGGGGAGGGGGAGGGUGGGGAAGAGGGCUGCGGAACAAUGACAAAUACGUGAGCUGAUAUUUCAUGCAACCGACAGAGACAAUCUCCGUGUUUUGUGCAACCCAAAAAAUGGGAGGGGGAGGGGAAGUACCUGGGCGAAGUCCCCUGAUCGCAAUUACGAACCCCCUGGGCCAGCAAAACUCAUUUGACUUUAUUCAAGUUGCUCAAAUUAAUAUUCAAUUAAUUUGCAUUUUUAUUGUGUUCGGUUCAGUUGUUCUUUGGGUUUUUUCUUACGCAUGCAGCCCAGUAGUAUUAUAAUUCCUUUAUAUCCAUAAUAUGCUACAAAUUUAUUCCGUUUCUACCGCUUUACAUCGUUAUAUUUACGAAAUAAUCAUAUUUAUAUGUUGUUGGUUUUUUUUUCGGGGUUUCCAUUUGUUAGGGACUCUAAAUAAUUUACAUGAAAGUUGUUUGGCUUCAAUCGGAACUGAAAUGUUAAUAUCCAUUAGAGACUAUGUGAGUUGCUUGUGUUGGUGGCCCUACAAAAAAUACCAUAAUUAAUGCAAAUGUUCGGCUAGCGUAUGUGCAAAAAAAAUGUUAGUUCGCCUUCAUACAUUAUUCAAAGUACGAUGCACAAUAAUUAUGAAUAAAACUACUAUCACAUUGAAAUACACAUAUAUAUGAUACAUGCCGGGAAACAAUAAUAAUAAUUGCUCAUUAAAUAUCUACACACGCAAAGCGAAAAUUGAAACAAUUUAAGUCCGAUCAUAAUGCCACAAAAUUGUUCUCUAAUUUAAUAAAUUCCCGACAGCAUUUCAGCACUUCAGUAGGUCUUGCUGAAAUUCGCUUGGCUUUUUGAGGUCUCUAGAACGAACAGAUAUCGUUGUCUUGGCAGUUUGGGCAGAUUAUAUCCUAUGCUAACCACAUUCAGCGGCCUUCUUAAAAGCAACGGAAAUGCUGUGCGGAAAACGAGGAUUUCCAGCAAAUUAGGAAAUGCUUAAUUGUUAAUGUGUUCACAGCAGAAUAAGUAGUUCUUGGUUUCGCUGAAAAUAUAGAUUUAUAUCUGGCCAGCACUUUUCACGCUCGAUAAGUUCCGCUGAAAACUGUUUUCGUUUCACAUUAAUAAGUAAUCCGAUUUAGUGCUCAUAUGCAGCUACGGCUA